rnacentral:lncRNA from 1 species
UGGACAGAGCAGAGGGCCCCGCAGCCCUGCCUGGAGGUCCAGAGCUGUUGGGAAUCCGCCUCGGGCCUUGGGCUGCAGCAUGACCCCAAGAACACAGAGCAGGAGGAUGGGGCACCUGCAGGAGCAGGCAGUUAUUCAAAAGUCUUAGUAGCCCAGACGCCGCAGUGAAGGCCAUAGGAAAGUGUGGAUGGACACGCACUCCAUGGAAACCUGGCCUUGAAACGCACCGCGCUUCUCAGGCAGCGUCCACCUCACGCUGACUUCGCGCUUCACCUUGAGGCCUGCGUCUGUUUCUGUUGUAAGGAGGCAUUGCCAUGGAGCCACCGUCAGGGAACGCUGAGAAGAGCCGUUCAACCGAGUCACGACGUCAUUCCCGGAGCCCAGAGCCCGAGUGAGGGAAGCAUGUGGAGCCAGGUCGGGUGGACGGCAUUGGCCGCCAGCAGGAACCAAGCAGGGUGAGAAGCGAGGAGAGGCCAGAGUGGGCAUCCUCGCGAUCCCAGAAGGAUUUCACCGUGGGAGGCUGGGACGACCCCAGGCAAGUCAGGGGCCGUGUUUGCGCCUCGUGCGGAGGUGCCGGAAGCUACGCCUUCUCACAUGUCUCACAGAGAGCCCGGCAGCUGCGGAUCGGCAGUAGUGGGAGCCGUGUCCAUUGCUCUCCGACACGACACGGGCGGCAAGGAAGGAGGAGGAAGAGG